AUUCCGGUUGAUCCUGCCGGAGGCCAUUGCUAUCGGUGUCCGAUUUAGCCAUGCGAGUUGUACGUUCAACGUAGCAAACUGCUCAGUAACACGUGGUCAAGCUGCCCUAUGGACCGGGAUAACCUCGGGAAACUGAGGCUAAUCCCGGAUAGCACAGCCAGCCUGGAGUGGCGGCUGUGUGAAACGGUCCGCCGCCAUAGGAUGCGACUGCGGCCGAUUAGGUAGACGGUGGGGUAACGGCCCACCGUGCCGAUAAUCGGUACGGGUCAUGAGAGUGAGAGCCCGGAGACGGAAUCUGAGACACGAUUCCGGGCCCUACGGGGCGCAGCAGGCGCGA
rnacentral:rRNA from 1 species